rnacentral:rRNA from 1 species
UGGGGAAUAUUGCACAAUGGGCGCAAGCCUGAUGCAGCCAUGCCGCGUGUAUGAAGAAGGCCUUCGGGUUGUAAAGUACUUUCAGCGGGGAGGAAGGUGUUGAGGUUAAUAACCUCAGCAAUUGACGUUACCCGCAGAAGAAGCACCGGCUAACUCCGUGCCAGCAGCCGCGGUAAUACGGAGGGUGCAAGCGUUAAUCGGAAUUACUGGGCGUAAAGCGCACGCAGGCGGUCUGUCAAGUCGGAUGUGAAAUCUCCGGGCUCAACCUGGGAACUGCAUUCGAAACUGGCAGGCUAGAGUCUUGUAGAGGGGGGUAGAAUUCCAGGUGUAGCGGUGAAAUGCGUAGAGAUCUGGAGGAAUACCGGUGGCGAAGGCGGCCCCCUGGACAAAGACUGACGCUCAGGUGCGAAAGCGUGGGGAGCAAACA